rnacentral:rRNA from 1 species
GACGAACGCUGGCGGCGUGCUUAACACAUGCAAGUCGAACGGUGAAGCUCCAGCUUGCUGGAGUGGAUCAGUGGCGAACGGGUGAGUAACACGUGAGCAACCUGCCCCUGACUCUGGAAUAAGCGCUGGAAACGGCGUCUAAUACUGGAUACGAGAAGGGUCCGCAUGGGCACUUUCUGGAAAGUUUUUCGGUUGGGGAUGGGCUCGCGGCCUAUCAGCUUGUUGGUGAGGUAAUGUCUCACCAAGGCGACGACGGGUAGCCGGCCUGAGAGGGCGACCGGCCACACUGGGACUGAGACACGGCCCAGACUCCUACGGGAGGCAGCAGUGGGGAAUAUUGCACAAUGGGCGAAAGCCUGAUGCAGCGACGCCGCGUGAGGGAUGACGGCCUUCGGGUUGUAAACCUCUUCAGCAGGGAAGAAGCGAAAGUGACGGUACCUGCAGAAGAAGCACCGGCUAACUACGUG